rnacentral:sRNA from 1 species
UUUAGAUAAUAUUUAUAUUGUUGGAUAACAAAAUCAACUCGUAGAUCCAUUGCAAAAUAGUCUUAGAUUUCGAAUGGAGACGUGCGGUUUAAUUGCAGAUAAAGUGCGGUGCGGUUCAAAUAAUAACAAAAAAAAAAAUAUAUAUAUA